UUCAACUACAGCCAUGCCGGUCCUACGAGGGAAGGCUAAUUCUCACCCACUGUUCUCUCGAGGAGAUAAUAGAUCAUGGAGAUUAAAGGAUUCUCGAGAUGCCAGCUUUCUCCAACUCCCACGUUAUACCGACGUAACUUUACCAACCCCUGACAAUAAUAACAGUAACAAUAAUGGGAAGAGAGACGUGGAAGAUAUGAAUAUGUAUCGGAUACAUCUGUUGCCUUGUAGCCCUUUGGGGCGUUAUGAGAGGAGAAAGGGUGUGGCGAGAACGGUGUAAUAUCGGUCGCAGACUCCUUUCGGCAAAACGUGCUAGAACUUAACAACCAAAGACUAAUUUGAAGCCAGUCGACGAGCCGAAAAAAAUAUUAUCUUUUUAUCUUUUCAGCAAUAUCUUUUUCUGUUAUUAAGUUCUAGAAUUCUGUCGUCGCCAACAUUGAUGCUGACCAAAGCAGCGCAAAGAACAAAGAAAGAAACUAUUGAAAAGAGAUUUUAUUGGCUGGCUGCAUCGAUUCUUCUCGGUCAUCACAGCCUUGUCCCUUCAGUAACAAAUUAAGGAUUUUAAGCUGAAAGUAAUUAAUUCCAACGAACGACGAGGUGUCACAAUGUUGGAAGACGAAGAGAUUGAGAGAAAAUCAAGGCUCAUUGUUCUCUUCUGUAUAAUAAUCCGAGAUCGCUCGACGAUUCUUUUCUCUUUUAAAUUAAUGAUUAAAUUUUUUUAAUUAUCGAUGCUAAUCAUACGAGACGAUUAAAUUAUUUAUUUAAUUAUUAGCUAAAAUAAUAAUAACAGUUAACAGUUGGAACUGUAAACAGUUGCAAGAAAAGAAAAUUGAAAAAUGAAAGAAACAAUUAACAGUUGAUAUUUUCAUCUUCGUGAAUUUAAUAUUUAUUUCUAAAUAUUUUCGUUAUUACUUCAUUUAAAAAUUAAUUAAAACUAAAAGUAAGAUAGAAAUAAUUAUACGCUAAAAUAAUUCAUCAAUGAUUCACAGUGUAUCGACAAAUUACUUCGUGAUUCGUUAUAUUCUACGUAUGACAACAAAAAUUAUUUUCUCUUAAUUCCACUUUAUCUUUUCUAAAGAAAAUGGAUUAUUUGGGCGACGUUGGAAAUCUUUUAUCCUUGAAUGCAAAUCCUUUUUAGUUACGUACCUCACAGGCGUAGUUAGUUAAUUAAAAGGUAAAAGCGGCCCGGAGAAGAGCACUCCAAAAAAGAGAGAAAACGAGAGUGAGAAAGAGGACUGGUAACCAGGAUUUGUAGCUCGAUCAGAGUAAAAUCUCCCUUUCACGUUCGACUGGAAUCAUUCGGAAUGGCUUCUGAUUCGGCGCUCGUUUGCACCGCUUUAUUUGCGAUUUCAAAGAGCCCAAAGUAAAGGACGCUCCUGCGUACACAAUUUUAGGCUUGGAUUUACAUAGAGACUGAACGAGCUAGAAUUGAAGGUUUUGUAAAAGACCUCGAUAGUGAUAUAAAAUUGACUCGUAAUUAAGUAUUUUCAAGUUAACAGGUUAAGGAAAGGUAUCUUAAAUCUUUUCAUGCUAAUCCAUCUGAAAAAGGGAUAUCACGGAUAUUAAAAAAUAAUCUCUAGCGACGGAGGCUGAGAAGAAAAUGUGCGACGAUUCGUAAAGAAGUUUUUUGACGUAUUGCCGUUGAAAAGUGUGGAUAGGGAAGUAGCGUAUUUGAAGAGAAGGCGAAGCGAGGAAAACUGAUUUAAUAAUACGCUAGGAUGAGCAACGGACUACCCCAUCGAGGAGAAGCACGAUCGAACGGCUUGACGGUAAAGCUCUCUCUGAGAUUCGCUUCCAUCCACCUCUUCUUCCACUCCCUUAUUCGCGAUUUCAUAUUUGGCGAAUACUACGAAGAUCAAGAAAAAAAGAAACAGAGGGAGAGAAAGAAGAAGAAGGAAAAGAAGCAACAACCAAACCCUUCGGAAUGUAAGCAUUUACAUUUAUAUUUGCAAAAACGCGAGCAUUCGAUGAAGGAAAAGAGAGAAAGGAAGAGAGAGAGAAAGAGAGAAAGAGGGAGAGAGAAAGAGAGAAAGAGAAAUCCCGCCCUUGAAACGGCCAGACUUUCGUUAUGGAAUUGCUAAUGACGACAAGGGCCGCCAGAAUCGUUGCAAUAACAGCUGCUCCCUGCCAAUUCGAUAGAUAGGUGUGGAAAAAUAUUCUUCGAUAACUGCGUUACGACGAUAAGAGCUCUGCGUGUCUCAGGAACGGUAUCGAUUCUUAAGGAAAACAACGAGAUCAUAAAGGCACUUAUAAAAGAA